CUCCUGUGUGCCUCGGAGAGGUGAUAUUGUUAAUUUCAAAAGGGGUUAGUUUGAUUGUAUGGGAGGUCAGAGCAUAUUGCCUCUUAGAUAAGGAGUCCUUUGAUAUGAACAAGCCUUGUGUUCCAAUGUCAUAUCCAAAAGAGACAUUAAGUCCUACCCAUAGAUUAAUACUCAAGCCUCAUUUUUAUCAUAUUUAGGAUGGGACAAGCACAAUCUUCUAAUCAAGCCUAAACAUGAUGUGUGGAACAGGGGGACCACACAGAUAGGGAGAUCCCCAGCAAUAUGACCUGAAAACAAUAAGUAGGCAAGCGAGUG